rnacentral:ribozyme from 1 species
UGCAGAGGACACCCGGGUUUCCCGGGUGUAAUGCACACCGGGCGAAUGUCGCCCGGUUCGGUUCCAAGUCCGG